rnacentral:tRNA from 1 species
GUGUUGCUCAGUGGUGAAGUGCUUGCCUCACAUGCAACAGGCUCUGGGUUUGAUUCCCAGCAC